rnacentral:snoRNA from 2 species
CCCCUCUCAGGGUUGCACCUGGAGAGUUUCCAGUCCUCUACCAGUCUCACUUAUGGGAGGGAGAGUCAAGCAGAGGCCUAACCAUUCCCUUCCUAGCUUGGGCAGUGGCUAGCGAGUGGAAGGCAAUCUGCUACAAGU